AUUGAACGCUGGCGGCAUGCUUUACACAUGCAAGUCGAACGGUAACUGGCCGCAAGGUGCUGACGAGUGGCGAACGGGUGAGUAAUGCAUCGGAACGUGCCCAGUCGUGGGGGAUAACUACUCGAAAGAGUAGCUAAUACCGCAUACGAUCUAUGGAUGAAAGCGGGGGACCGUAAGGCCUCGCGCGAUUGGAGCGGCCGAUGUCAGAUUAGGUAGUUGGUGGGGUAAAGGCUCACCAAGCCAACGAUCUGUAGCUGGUCUGAGAGGACGACCAGCCACACUGGGACUGAGACACGGCCCAGACUCCUACGGGAGGCAGCAGUGGGGAAUUUUGGACAAUGGGCGCAAGCCUGAUCCAGCAAUGCCGCGUGCAGGAAGAAGGCCUUCGGGUUGUAAACUGCUUUUGUACGGAACGAAACGGCUCUGGUUAAUACCCGGGGCUAAUGACGGUACCGUAAGAAUAAGCACCGGCUAACUACGUG
rnacentral:rRNA from 1 species